rnacentral:tRNA from 1 species
AAGGUUUUAAGUUAAAUAAACUAAUAGCCUUCAAAGCUAUAAAUAAAGAAAUUUCCUUUAAGCCUUA